UACAGAGGUCUCAAGCGUUGUUCGGAAUCACUGGGCGUAAAGGGUGUGUAGGCGGCGUGAAAAGUCAGAUGUGAAAUCCGGGAGCUCAACUUCCGAAAUGCAUCCGAUACUGUCAUGCUGGAGGUCUGUAGAGGAGUCUGGAAUUCUCGGUGUAGCAGUGAAAUGCGUGGAUAUCGAGAGGAACACUUAUAGCGAAGGCAAGACUCUGGGCAGAUCCUGACGCUCAAACACGAAGUCCAGGGUAGCGAACGGG
rnacentral:rRNA from 1 species